GACAAACGCUGGCGGCGUGCCUAACACAUGCAAGUCGAACGUCCUGCCGGUCCUGCUCCCAAAGGAGCAGGACCGGCAGGAAGUGGCGGACGGGUGAGUAACACGUGGGUGACCUACCCUCAGGUGAGGGAUACCGGCUCGAAAGGGCCGACAACCCCGCAUUCGCUUCGGUUCUUGGAGGGACCGAAGCAAAGCUGCUCGUAGGAGCAGUGCCUGAGGAGGGGCCUGCGGCCGAUUAGCUGGUUGGUGGGGUAACGGCUCACCAAGGCUCUGAUCGGUAGCUGGUCUGAGAGGACGAGCAGCCACACUGGGAUUGAGAACGGCCCAGACUCCUACGGGGGGCAGCAGUGAGGAAUAUUCGGCAAUGGGGGCCACCCUGACCGAGCAACGCCGCGUGCAGGAGGACGCUCUUCGGAGUGUAAACUGCUUUUCUCUGUGACGAGACAGCAGGACGGUAGCAGAGGAAGAAGUCUCGGCUAACUACGUGCCAGCAGCCGCCGUAAAAC
rnacentral:rRNA from 1 species